UUAUAGAUAAACUAAAAUAAGUUAUUAGACUCAUAAUCUAAAUAUAGAAUUAAAUUUCUUCUAUAAA
rnacentral:tRNA from 1 species